rnacentral:rRNA from 1 species
UACGAAGGGAGCUAGCGUUGUUCGGAAUCACUGGGCGUAAAGCGCACGUAGGCGGAUGUGUCAGUCAGGGGUGAAAUCCCGGAGCUCAACUCCAGAACUGCCUUUGAUACUGAAGAUCUUGAGUUCGGGAGAGGGAAGCGGAAUUCCGGGUGUAGCGGUGAAAUGCGUAGAUAUCCGGAGGAACACCGGUGGCGAAGGCGGCUUCCUGGACCGACACUGACGCUGAGGCGCGAAAGCUAGGGGAGCAAACGGG